UACAGAGGGGGCAAGCGUUGUUCGGAAUUACUGGGCGUAAAGGGCGCGUAGGCGGCCUCUUAAGUCGAACGUGAAAUCCCCGGGCUCAACCCGGGAACUGCGUCCGAUACUGGGAGGCUUGAAUCCGGGAGAGGGAUGUGAAAUUCCAGGUGUAGCGGUGAAAUGCGUAGAUAUCUGGAGGAACACCGGUGGCGAAGGCGGCAUCCUGGACCGGUAUUGACGCUGAGGCGCGAAAGCUAGGGGAGCAAACGGG
rnacentral:rRNA from 1 species